GUGGGGAAUAUUGGACAAUGGGCGCAAGCCUGAUCCAGCCAUGCCGCGUGAGUGAUGAAGGCCUUAGGGUUGUAAAGCUCUUUUGUCCGGGAAGAUAAUGACUGUACCGGAAGAAUAAGCCCCGGCUAACUUCGUGCCAGCAGCCGCGGUAAUACGAAGGGGGCUAGCGUUGUUCGGAAUCACUGGGCGUAAAGCGCACGUAGGCGGACCAUAAAGUCAGGGGUGAAAGCCUGGAGCUCAACUCCAGAACUGCCUUUGAUACUGAUGGUCUCGAGUAUGGAAGAGGUUGGUGGAACUGCGAGUGUAGAGGUGAAAUUCGUAGAUAUUCGCAAGAACACCGGUGGCGAAGGCGGCCAACUGGUCCAUUACUGACGCUGAGGUGCGAAAGCGUGGGGAGCAAACAGGAUUAGAUACCCUUGUAGUCC
rnacentral:rRNA from 1 species